AGUCAACAUGCCCAGAGGACGUGGAUAACCUCGGGAAACUGAGGAUAAACCGCGAUAGGUCAUAAUAUCUGGAAUGAUUUAUGGUUUAAAUCUAUAUGGCCUCUGGAUUGGACUGCGGCCGAUCAGGCUGUUGGUGAGGUAAUGGCCCACCAAACUUAAAACCGGUACGGGCUCUGAGAGGAGAAGCCCGGAGAUGGGCACUGAGACAAGGGCCCAGGCCCUAUGGGGCGCAGCAGGCGCGAAAACUCUGCAAUAAGCGAAAGCUUGACAGGGUUAUUCUGAGUGAUUUCCGCUAAGGAAAUCUUUUGGCACCUCUAAAAAUGGUGCAGAAUAAGGGGUGGGCAAGCCUGGUGUCAGCCGCCGCGGUAAUACCAGCACCCCGAGUGGUCGGGACGAUUAUUGGGCCUAAAGCAUCCGUAGCCGGUUCUACAAGUCUUCCGUUAAAUCCACCUGCUUAACAGAUAGGCUGCGGAGGAUACUAUGGAGCUAGGAGGCGGGAGAGGCAAGCGGUACUUAGUGGGUAGGGGUAAAAUCCGUUGAUCCAUUGAAGACCACCAGUGGCGAAGGCGGCUUGCCAGAACGCACUCGACGGUGAGGGAUGAAAGCUGGGGGAGCAAACCGGAUUAGAUACCCGGGUAGUCCCAGCUGUAAACGAUGCAGACUCGGUGAUGAAUAGGCUUCGUGCCUAUUCAGUGCCGCAGGGAAGCCGUUAAGUCUGCCGCCUGGGGAGUACGGUCGCAAGACUGAAACUUAA
rnacentral:rRNA from 1 species